rnacentral:rRNA from 1 species
UUAGUGGCGGACGGGUGAGUAACGCGUGGAAAACCUGUCGUAUACUGGGGGAUAACACUUAGAAAUAGGUGCUAAUACCGCAUAAGCGCACGGCUUCGCAUGAAGCGGUGUGAAAAAACUCUGGUGGUAUACGAUGGUUCCGCGUCUGAUUAGCUAGUUGGUGGGGUAAUGGCCUACCAAGGCAACGAUCAGUAGCCGGCCUGAGAGGGUGAACGGCCACAUUGGGACUGAGACACGGCCCAAACUCCUACGGAAGGCAGCAG